rnacentral:rRNA from 1 species
AACGAUCCUUCGGGAUAGUGGCGGACGGGUGAGUAACGCGUGGGAAACUACCUUUCGGUACGGAAUAGCCUCGGGAAACUGGGAUUAAUACCGUAUACGUCCUUCGGGAGAAAGAUUUAUCGCCGAUUGAGGUGCCCGCGUUGGAUUAGCUUGUUGGUGAGGUAAUGGCUCACCAAGGCGACGAUCCAUAGCUGGUCUGAGAGGAUGAUCAGCCACACUGGGACUUAGACACGGCCCAGACUCCUACGGGAGGCAGCAGUGGGGAAUAUUGGACAAUGGGCGAAAGCCUGAUCCAGCCAUGCCGCGUGAGUGAUGACGGCCUUAGGGUUGUAAAGCUCUUUCAGUGGGGAAGAUAAUGACGGUACCCACAGAAGAAGCCCCGGCUAACUCCGUGCCAGCAGCCGCGGUAAUACGGAGGGUGCAAGCGUUAUCCGGAUUCACUGGGUUUAAAGGGUGCGUAGGUGGGUCGGUAAGUCAGUGGUGAAAUCCCCGAGCUUAACUUGGGAACUGCCAUUGAUACUAUCGGUCUUGAAUAUCGCGGAGGUCAGCGGAAUAUGUCAUGUAGCGGUGAAAUGCUUAGAUAUGACAUAGAACACCAAUUGCGAAGGCAGCUGGCUACCCGAAUAUUGACACUGAGGCACGAAAGCGUGGGGAUCAAACAGGAUUAGAUACCCUGGUAGUCCACGCCCUAAACUAUGGAUACUCGACAUUUGCGAUAAACUGUAAGUGUCUGAGCGAAAGCAUUAAGUAUCCCACCUGGGAAGUACGACCGCAAGGUUGAAACUCAAAGGAAUUGGCGGG